CAAAAUGUGAUGAGAAGGAAAGUACUUUUUAAAAUAGCUUGCAGAGAGCCUCGUUUGGUGAGAAGAGGUAGUGACGUUAAAGGGGAAAAUGGCCUUUGAACAGGUUGGUUGAAGCCGUUUGCUUAAACCAAUUCAGGUGCGCCUGUUAUAGCGCUACAGUAUGAUUGUACUGGAAACGAGCGGAUCUUUUUUAGCGAAGAGAUCAACAAAGGUGGUACCGCGAUUGCAUAAGCAUUCGUCCUUUUU
rfam:Enterococcus faecalis V583, complete genome.